CCUCAUCAUAACAAGAUCGCCCAGUGACCAGACAUUGCCAGGAGACCCUACCGUAACAAGAAGGUGAAGAUGAUUGGUGCUAUGCCACCGUGUCCCAUGCUGGUGCUCCUCCAUCCUACUGAGUCAAGUUUGAGCAAGGCCAUGACUAUGCCACAAUGGUCAUAUACUGACCAGCAUGUGCCGACCUGAAAAGACA